AAUAAACGAAAGUAAUUUAUAACAUGUAAUAAAAUUUGAAAACAUAUGGAUUAACGAGAUUUCCACUGUCCCUAUCUACUAUCUAGCGAAACCACAGCCAAGGGAACGGGCUUGGCAAACACAGCGGGGAAAGAAGACCCUGUUGAGCUUGACUCUAGU
rnacentral:ncRNA from 1 species